CUUAGGGGGAAGAAGAACACAAGCAAAAACCUAACCCUCACUUUAAUUUCAAAUCCAUGUAACUUUUGAUCCAGAGCUCCGAUUGACGAACCGUUUGCGAUCACGCGUUCACCGUGACGAGCUCUACGAAACCCAUGGAACAAUUUGGUUCAAGUUAGCUUCCGGAACUUGUGGGCUCAAGCUAUUGAGCAUAUGGGUAUGGUGUAGAUUAAGUGGGUAUAUAUGCAUUGGGAAUAUUUAGAGGCUUGUUGGUGAUCAAAGCUUAGUUUGUGGCUAUUUUACUUGAGCUUGAAGAGGCUGUAAUUUUGUGUUGAAAAGC